CCCCCCCCCCCCCGGCCCCCCCCCCCCCCCCCCCCCCCCCCCCCCCGUCCUGCCCCGUCGCCCCCGCCUCGCGCCCGCCCCCCUCACGGUCCCCGGUGCUCCGCCUCGCCCCGUCAGGUCCCGCCCCCUCGGCUCGACCCAACCCCCGCAUGCCCCGCCCCUGCAGGGUCGGGCCCGCCCCCCCGCGGCCUCACGUGAGCAUGGAGACGCCGUGGGGCGUGGUGGGCGCGCUGUGGCGCCGCAUGUGCGCGUACAUGUCGGGGAAGCUCUUUUUGAUGUAGGCCUCGGCGCUGCUCUCCCACACGGUGCCCACGCGGAAGCCCUGGGACGGGUGGUGCAGCUGCGGGGGCAGCUCGUCAGCCCGGGCCGCUGUCGCCCCGGCCUCCGGCUGCCCCGCGUCCCCAGGGCUCUCGCCCAGCUCCUCCCGCCGCCGCCGCCGCCGCCGCCGCCCCGACUGGGGCCCCUCUGGGCGCCGAGAGGGGGUCAGCGGCACCCCUGCCCCACCCACUCGGUGCCAGGAGCUCCCCAGUCGUGCUGUUCCGCGACAUGGCCCUCUCUCUGUCCCUGGGGGGCAGGAUCGCCAGGAACCACCCGGGACCCCGCAGCCCCGCUGGCCGCUCCUCCCUGUCCUGGCUCCCCAGCGCCGCCCACAGUCUGCAAACUCCUAAGGGAUGAGCGAGUGGUGACACUGACCCGCGCGUCCUGAUGUGGCCACAGCCCUCCGGAAAAGCCGGACCCUUGUCCUGUGGAGCGUCUAGAGCAGUCCUGUCUGGAACCUUCCGACGAGGAGACCCUGUACCUGUGCUGUUCUCGGUGGCUGUUGGGCGCUUACAGUUAAUUAGAUGUUGAACGUGGCCGCGUGUGAGCGGCUAGCACAUCACACAGCGCUGGGCCUAGGCUGUCGUACCAAUUUACAAAGAUACGGGGCUUAGGGUGCGGCACCCCUCAGGACACAGCCGCAUCCGAACAGUGGGAGCUGCCACGGGACAAAAACAAUUUCUCCAGCAAACACAUUUUUGGACAAGAAAUAAGUGGAGAGGAAAUGUACCCACAGUGCCUGCGUGUUUAGGACCAGAUUCAAACAAGCCAGGGGGGGAGAAAAGACAACUGGGAAAAGGGGACCCCGAGGUGUGUGAAAGCUUCCAGAAAACUGGUGAAAUGACAGUCCAGUGGCUGGGACUGGCCUGGGUGGCUGGGAGUUGACUUAGGAGCUGGACAAUGGGUUCAUCCGUGCUGCUCACUGCUCCCUGUUUUUCAUUAAAAACAGAGAAAUAUGUAGACCGGGGCACACCUCUGCCCUGCCCGCAAGCCGCCAGGGCUCCGAGAGAAAGUUCUGUCUCAGAAAGAACUGCUUUAGACACCCUGCAGGACCUGCCCCGGGGCCUUUGCACCUGCUCUGCCUUCUCUCCCAUCAUUCCUCCCUGAUCUCUACAUAAAAGUCUCUCGAAUGGCACCCCCUCCCAGAGUUAUUUCGUCACCCUCGUUUCAGAAAACGCCCCUCCCGGGACUCCCUGUGUUCCCACUCUGCCUCAUUUUCCUUCCUGACACUUCAUAGCCAUCUCACACACCAAUCCGGUGUGCUUCUCUUGACCGCGACACCUCUCCCUGGGGCAUGGAGACCUUCGCCUGUUUGGUCCCGGCCGGGUCCCCGACGCCUGGCGC
ensembl:lncRNA